AUGUCUUUGAUGGAAAUAAUGCACUGGAAUGCCCUUCAAAACAGUAAUUGCUGUUUUGUUGGAUCUUCAGAAAUUUUUGUGCCUGUUCCCAGAAUGUCACAGCCAUUUGCAACAUGGAGUGAGCAUCCCUGGUUGCUUCUUGGUUUUCUCAGUGUUUUGGAAGCUGCAUUAGCAAGAAAUAACUUCAGUGAAUUGAGAAAACAAAAGUGUAAGAGUUAAGAACAAAGAGACUCUUUUGAAAAGAAAACAGAACAAAGGGGAAAAAAAAAAGCCAAGACUUUUACCAACUCUUUUCUUAAACUAAAGAAAAGCUGGUCAGCAGUGUGGUGAUUCCUGAUGACUGGAAAAAGCUGUCACAAUCAUCUGCAAGUAGAGCAAGGAAGAUGUGUGGAACUUCACAUCAAUCAGCCUCAUCUCAGUUCCUGGGAAGGUGAUAGUGCACGUCAUCCUAGAAGCCAUUUUCCAAGCCCAUGGGGGCUAGGAAGGUGACCAGAAGAGCCAGGACAAAUCACGCUUGACCAACCUGGUUGUAUUCUGAGACAUGGACAACAGGAAAGUAGUAUAUAUCAUUUAUGUUGACCAUGGAAAGGUCUUUGAUGUGAACUUCCUGAGUAUCUGUACAGUCAAACUGAUGAGACCAUUUGGGUCUGUGGACUACAAGACAUACGGAAGAUUGGACCACUGAGUUCAAAGGACUGUACAAGAUCCAGCUGGUUGCUAGCCAUUACUGGUGUCUCCCAGGAGCCAGCACUGGUCCAGUGCCCUUUAAAGAAAUGUGGAGACAUUUCUUCUCAGAAAGAGCAGUCAGGCAUUGGAAUGAGUUGCGCAGGGAAGUGGUGGCAUCACUGUCCCUGGGGGUGUUCAAGGACAUGGUGCUUAGGCACAUGGGUUAGUGGGUGACAUUGGUGGUAGGUGGAUGGUUGGACCGGAUGGUCUUGAAGCUCUUUUCCAACCUUAAUGAUUCUAUGAUUCUAUGAAAAUCUUUGCUUGUGGUCUCUCCAGUGUGAUAGUAUGUCCUUCCAGCAUACUUGUGGAAAAGACUAAAUUGGGUGGACUGAUUGAUAAGGAGGGCAGGGUUGCCGUUUGCAACCUGGUUGGGGAUCAGAGCAUGCCCUUUCCCUGAAAACUGCAGUGGAUAGAGUAAACUCUUGUACCUAGGAGGUGGGCAAAACUAGCAGCUGUUAUUAAGUUACAGUCCUACUAAUUAAUUUCCCUUACUUUCAGUGCAUGUUCUGCUGACAAUCAGGGUUCUUUGAUGAGCAUAGCAGUUAGCAAUCAAAAUUGGUUUUAAUAUUUCUGUGCUCUUAGCAUUACUUUUUUUCACUUUGCUUUAUCUCUUGUUUUCUCUCUGUAUGUUUGUUGUUGAACAUCCUUGAGAAUAAAUGAGUUUCCCAAGAUACA
rnacentral:lncRNA from 1 species